rnacentral:rRNA from 1 species
UGCCAGCAGCCGCGGUAAUACGGAGGGUGCGAGCGUUGUUCGGAAUCAUUGGGCGUAAAGCGCGUGUAGGCGGCUUGGAAAGUCGGGUGUGAAAGCCCGGGGCCCAACCCCGGAAAUGCACUCGAAACUGCCUCACUAGAGUCCCGGAGAGGAAGGCGGAAUUCCCGGUGUAGAGGUGAAAUUCGUAGAUAUCGGGAGGAACACCAGCGGCGAAGGCGGCCUUCUGGACGGUGACUGACGCUGAGACGCGAAAGCGUGGGGAGCAAACAGGAUUAGAUA